AUUGAACGCUGGCGGCAUGCUUUACACAUGCAAGUCGGGCGGCAGCGCGGGGCAACCUGGCGGCGAGCGGCGAACGGGUGAGGAAUACAUCGGAACGUACCCGGAAGUGGGGGAUAACGCCGCGAAAGCGGCGCUAAUACCGCAUAUUCUGUACGCAGGAAAGUGGGGGACCGCAAGGCCUCACGCUUUCGGAGCGGCCGAUGUCCGAUUAGCUAGUUGGUGGGGUAAAGGCUUACCAAGGCGACGAUCGGUAGCUGGUCUGAGAGGAUGAUCAGCCACACUCGGACUGAGACACGGCCCAGACUCCUACGGGAGGCAGCAGUGGGGAAUUUUGGACAAUGGGGGCAACCCUGAUCCAGCCAUGCCGCGUGCGGGAAGAAGGCCUUCGGGUUGUAAACCGCUUUUAGCCGGGAAGAAAAGGCGAAGGUUAAUACCUUUCGUUCUUGACGGUACCGGCGGAAUAAGCACCGGCUAACUACGUGCCAGCCGCCGCGGUAAAAC
rnacentral:rRNA from 1 species